ACGUAGGGUGCAGGCGUUAAUCGGAAUUACUGGGCGUAAAGGGCGCGUAGGCGGCCACUGCAAGUCAGUUGUGAAAUCUCCGGGCUUAACUCGGAAAGGUCAACUGAUACUGUGCGACUAGAGUGCAGAAGGGGCAACUGGAAUUCUCGGUGUAGCGGUGAAAUGCGUAGAUAUCGAGAGGAACACCUGCGGCGAAGGCGGGUUGCUGGGCUGACACUGACGCUGAGGCGCGAAAGCCAGGGGAGCGAACGGGA
rnacentral:rRNA from 1 species